rfam:Stegodyphus mimosarum contig55053, whole genome shotgun sequence.
GACUUCGUGGUGUAGUGGUCAGAACGCUCGACGCUUAUUCGAAAGGCCCGUGGUUCGAAUCCCGGCAAGGGCA